rnacentral:rRNA from 1 species
GGGAACGUACCUUUUGGUUCGGAACAACACAGGGAAACUUGUGCUAAUACCGGAUAAGCCCUUACGGGGAAAGAUUUAUCGCCGAAAGAUCGGCCCGCGUCUGAUUAGCUAGUUGGUAGGGUAACGGCCUACCAAGGCGACGAUCAGUAGCUGGUCUGAGAGGAUGAUCAGCCACAUUGGGACUGAGACACGGCCCAAACUCCUACGGGAGGCAGCAGUGGGGAAUAUUGGACAAUGGGGGCAACCCUGAUCCAGCCAUGCCGCGUGAGUGAUGAAGGCCCUAGGGUUGUAAAGCUCUUUUGUGCGGGAAGAUAAUGACGGUACCGCAAGAAUAAGCCCCGGCUAACUUCGUGCCAGCAGCCGCGGUAAUACGAAGGGGGCUAGCGUUGCUCGGAAUCACUGGGCGUAAAGGGUGCGUAGGCGGGUUUUUAAGUCAGAGGUGAAAUCCUGGAGUUCAACUCCAGAACUGCCUUUGAUACUGGGAAUCUUGAGUAUGGAAGAGGCGAGUGGAACUGCGAGU